rnacentral:lncRNA from 1 species
GCAAAAAAAGUAGUAAAACGCCUGCAUGUAAAAAUGGGUUGUGUAGUUAUUUUUGUGUGAUAUUACACAAUUUAGUAGUACUCCGCUUCACAAUUUUUUCUAACACCAUUUACACCUAAAAUGUGUAAAAUUAUACACAUUUUUCGUUAAUAUUGCAUUUGCGUGUUGUUUGCUAUCCAGCUGUCAAAAUAUCCAAACUAAACUCAACUCGCGUGAAUCAAAACAGUUCGGAAAAUCAGCAAGAGUGAAUAUAUUGAUUCGUUUGAGGAUUAAAACCAUCUUCAAGGCUGAAAAUCAUGAAAAUAUACAAAGGAUUUUUUUUAGGUUUGAAAUUUCCCGGAAGCGACGGUCCAAAACUGAUCCUACUGCAAGUGUCCGGCCAACCAGCUGGCGCCACAAUUCACUGUUUAAGAAGCCGGUUCGGUGUUGCGACCAGCAGCAGUUGCCACGAUUGGCAUCGUUUGCCACUGUACCAGGAACCCUCUGGACGAUAUCUGGUUCUCGAAAACUUCCGGAAUCAACGCUGCCACUGAAGCUGCAAAACCAUAGAAGCCGAAAAUUGUCCCGAACGGGCUCGUGUCAAGGUAGACGGAGAAUACGCAGCCAGUCAAGUUUCCGUCGCUGACCUCCGCCGGCUCCGGAGGUAACUCGAAGAGGGUGGCACUGGCGCUGGUGAGUGAAGUUGUAAUUGCUUGUUCAAUUUGAACACCGGCAGACAGGAGCAAGACAGCGUGUUUCCCCGUGUUUCCCACCGAUACUUGCUCGUUCAUGACUUCACCGUCAAAAAUAUCGCUGAUUCGCGCCGGAAUCUGUUCGAACAGUGUUUCGCUCUGGGCGCGAUUCUUGAACCGAGCUGGCUGGAUUUGCCCCCGCUGACGUUGCCAUUGCGUGAUGCUUCGAACGUUAUGGUGCUCCCCUCUCGCCGGGUAGUGACGAAACCCCGAAAGGCCUGAAUCCGCUUCAGAAAUCGGUCAACGAGACAUACUUCUCUAACCCACACGAACGUCGUGCGAAUGCUCUGCAAUUCGUACAACUUUUUAUACGAAGUCCCAUUCUUCAACCCUUUAGGAGGAACCACACCCGGGUCGUGGAAUGGAAGGUUGGCCGCGAAAAGGAUACGCACCUCGUCAACACCUGGGCCGUUCGCGAUCAUCCGCACAUCGACCACAGAACAACCGAUUCGGAAGGAAUGUUGUCCACUCACUAGCCGUAUAACACCAGUUCUGGCUUAAAAUCAGGUGCAAUC